UCACGGGCCGGGGCGGGGUCCCGGGUGAUUGGCGGCCCCGGGCCCUGCCGCUAAGCUAUUGGCCCCAAGGAACGCUUUUCAACACCCUCUCGACUUCCCAGCUCUCUGAUUCAUCGGUAGAAGGACGUCUGUCUCUGCCAAAGGUUUGCCGCGUUCUCUCGUUGGAGGCCGUGCGCAUUCGCAGCACACAAGGCCAGCUGGGACUAGUAGUUCGUCCUUUCGCACUUUGAGCGACUUACCAAAGAUAAAGGGCGAGAAAGGAAAGAGCUUUCCCUUCAAACGUCUCCCUUCCCCAGUGAGCCGGUUCCUGGCCUCGCGUGCUGACAUCACGGGAGGAAUGCGGUGAUGCAGCUGCUCGCCUGUGACGUUAGUGGCGGAGGCGGGCCUCGGAGUUCGAUGAUGUCACCUGGCUCUCUGCCCCGCCCCCGCGGUGCUCUCAGAGGCUGGGACAGGGCUCCAGGGCGGGGUUCGAUCCUAGGUCCCAAGCCCGAGCCACCUUCCCUCCGGCUCCGCCAGGCCCAACUGUGGGCUUACCUAAGCCCCGCCAGCCGGGAAAGGUCACCGCUGCUCGGGCGACCGCGGCUAUCGCGGCCCGGCAGGCAGUGCGGGCCGCCCCGGGAAAGGUCUUCCGCAGGCGGGGGACUUAAUUAGAGGCUUCUACAGCGGGCGAUAAGCAAAGGUCAGCGCCAGGCCCCUCCCGGGGGAGCUCGGGCCGCUCAGCAGGUCUCUGCUCCGCCUCCCCCACCCCAUACCGGUCCUCCGGUCCUCGGUUUCCUCUGGGGAGAAGCGGCUCCGGGACUAGGAUAAUGGAGGAGACGCGAUGAGAUACCGAAGACCUGAAAGGACCAGUCAGGGGACUCGAGGCGUAACAGCGCAAGAGUGGUGCUAAGAGGGCACCCUUUGCAUUCAUUGAGCAAAUAAAUGUUAACAACAAUA